UGCAGGUUGGCACAAUGGCCC
rnacentral:piRNA from 1 species